rnacentral:rRNA from 1 species
UAUCGGAUUGAUACUAAGCCAUGCGAGUCAUUGUAGCAAUACAAGGCAUACGGCUCAGUAACGCGUAGUCAACCUAACCUAUGGACGGGAAUAACCUCGGGAAACUGAGAAUAAUGGCCGAUAGAACAUUAUGCCUGGAAUGGUUUAUGUUCCAAAUGAUUUAUCGCCGUAGGAUGGGACUGCGGCCUAUCAGUUUGUUGGUGAGGUAAUGGCCCACCAAGACUAUUACAGGUACGGGCUCUGAGAGGAGUAGCCCGGAGAUGGGUACUGAGACACGGACCCAGGCCCUAUGGGGCGCAGCAGGCGAGAAAACUUUGCAAUGUGCGAAAGCACGACAAGGUUAAUCCGAGUGAUUUGUGCUAAACGAAUCUUUUGUUAGUCCUAGAAACACUAACGAAUAAGGGGUGGGCAAGUUC